GUGGGAGUCCACUGCAAUAAUCCAGGAGAGAAAUCAUGUGAGCUUGAGAAGGAAUCAGAUUCUGCAUAUAUUUCCAAGUUAACAUGAACAAGAUUUUCUGAAAGACUGCUAUGGAGUCUGAGAAAAAAUGUCAAAGGUAGUGCCAAAAUUGUCACUUAAAGAACUGCAGGAAUGGAGUUGGCAUUUACAGAAUUUGGAAGAGAAGCAGGUUUAGUGAUAAAGACCAGAAGCACAGAGCUAAGCAUAUUAAAUAUUGAGGACAUGAAGAGGAAAGAACUGACAGAGGAGGUGAAGAAAGGUGAUCAGGAAGAGCCAUCAAAGUGUUAUCCUGGAAUUCAAGUGAAGACAGUGUUUCAAAGGUAACCAAUGUUAGAGCCUGGUGUGUAUCUUUCAGAGGAUAGUUUCUUUGUGAUUGUGAGUAGCUUAGCUGUUGAGCAAGCCACUGGAUACAAGACUAACCUUACAGAAAGGUCAAUCCUGGAUGGGUAGGAUGUCAUCAACAUAUGAGGCAUGGUUAAAACCAUGAAUGUGGAUGAGAUCCUCCCGGAGGAUCACAUAAAGAGGUCAGCGCACUGUGACCUGACUUACGGGGAUUACUAUAUGGAAGCUGCAUACAAAGAUCAGAGGUCCAGCAGGGAGAGUGGGGACAAUGAGUUUUGGGUGGAAAUUCUGACAACACAGGAUUAAAACACUGAGGAUGUCCCUUUACAUCGAGAAAGUGCUGAAUAAACAUCCUGAAGGAGGUUGGUGGAUUUUAAUAAAAAUUAAAAAGGGAGUCUUUAUUAGACUAUAAUAAUUCUCCUGUGUUUUUCUGCAUAUUAUUUACAUAUAAUGCAACUCAUCUUCAGUCAGGACUUCAGGGACACUUGUGCCAGCAGACCGGUACCCAGAGAAAUAAGUGAAGAACAGAGUUUACUGUAAAUUUAAAUAUUAAACAAAUGGACAGAUAUUUGUAUGUUCUACCAAA
rnacentral:lncRNA from 10 species